rnacentral:rRNA from 1 species
CCCUUAGAUGUUCGGGGCCGCACGCGCGCUACACUGAUGGGGACAGCGUGUUUGCCAUUCCUGGUCCGGCAGGAUUGGGCAAUCCGUUGAACCCCCGUCGUGAUUGGGAUCGGAGCUUGUAACUAUUCUCCGUAAACGAGGAAUUCCCAGUAAGCGCAAGUCAUCAGCUUGCGUUGAUUACGUCCCUGCCCUUUGUACACACCGCCCGUCGCUACUACCGAUUGAAUGAUCCGAUGAAUAUCAUGGAUUGAGGAUGCAAGCAGGUUCGCCUGUCUUCAUCUUCGAGAAGUGAAGUAAAUCUUAUCAUUUAGAGGAAGGAGAAGUCGUAACA